rnacentral:lncRNA from 1 species
UCUAAAAUAGUUAAUGAAAGGGUAAGGUAUACUAGUCUAAUAAGAAUAUAAUACUGUUCACCGAUAGGAAAAAGGAAGGUUGGUAAAAAAUUAUAAAAACAACCAAUGGAAUUCUUGAUUUAAGUAAAUUCAUUUACUAUGAAGAAAAAGCAUUUAUUGCAUAUAUUUACCGUUGCGAGAUUUUUAAAAUCGAUCUAUAGAGACAAUAACUUAAAUAACAUCCUAAUCUCAUAUUCAAGUGAGCAAGAGCAAU